AUUUUCACUCGUGAAAGGAAAUCGAGAGGAACAUCGCACAGAGUCGAAGGAAGAUGAAGCAGUUCGAUCCAUGGCCGGUGUUUUUCAGGCGAGAAUGGAAGAGGAACUGGCCCUUCCUUGUAGGUUUCGCCAUAACCGGGACUCUUAUAACCAAGAUGACCGCCGGACUAUCUGAGGAAGAAGUGAAGAACUCUCCUUUCGUCCAGAGGCACAAUCGGUGAAUCCUUGAAGGGCUUUGGUGUCAUUGCCAAUGAGAUGUCUUGUUUGUGCAAAAUAACAGAUGCUGCGCUUAGUUUUCAAGCCAUUUAAAGCAAGUUUUAUGGUACUUCUCAGUAUGUAUCGAACUUGAAGGAUUUUUCUGAUGUUUACUUUCUGUAUGAACAAGAAUUUUUUUUCGUAGCAUCAAAUUGGUUGAAAACUUUGAACAACUGGUUGCCCUGCUUAAUUCGAAAUGGUUGAACUCUUGUUUACAGACUGACUCCUACAUGUCAUAUAAACAUGUGUACAUCAACGUUUUUUUUUC